rnacentral:lncRNA from 1 species
AUGCCGCCCUCGGCCUCGCUUCGGAGGCCGCGCAGCCGGCAGGCCGGCUUCCCUCCCGAGGCCUCCCCGACCAAGCCGCGCCUCCAAGGGGCCGCCUGUGCAGCCGAAGGUGAAGGCGAGGCGGGCGAGGGGCCCCAAGGAGGUCUCCAACUCUCGCUCCCCUCCCCCUCCCACAGCCUGUCUCAACGCAAGAGCGCGGGACGGCCGACCCGGUCCACCCGGCCUCCCCGCUCCCACCGAACCAGGCCCCCAACGCCGGCCAUUCCCCACCAACCCCCCGCUCUCCCCCUAAUACCUCCUCCCCCCGGCGGCGACGGCGACGGCCGGAGUCGGGCUGGGGGCGACCGGGCGGCGGUUUUACCUCCAUUUUGAGACCGGACUCGCCUCUUCCAACUCGAGUUCAAUAUGGGACCGAGAGGAAGAGGCGGGGCCAGUCGUCACGUGACGCGUUUUCCGCGCGCCGCCAGUCUGUUGGGGGAGGAGCGAAUUGGGAAGGGGGCGGAGCCAAGCGGGCGCGAAGAGGGACUGGACCAGCGGGUUGGCGGGCGGAGGGCGGAGGCGCGGCGUGCCGCGGGAGCGCGCGCGCCUCGCCAGCUUUCAGGGGAAGAGGGCCUUUGCCGCCGUUCGCGUCAGGGCGAGUUCCGGGACGUCAGUGCGGUCUCCGCCAAUGUAUGGAUUUGACAAUGCCUUUGAUUGACCUCGCAGCUGCUCAUCACACAAAA